AUACGAAGGGUGCAAGCGUUAAUCGGAAUUACUGGGAGUAAAGCGCGCGUAGGUGGUUUUGUAAGUUGGAGGUGAAAGCCCCGGGCUCAACCUGGGAAUUGCCUCCAAAACUGCAUGACUAGAGUACGGUAGAGGGUAGUGGAAUUUCCUGUGUAGCGGUGAAAUGCGUAGAUAUAGGAAGGAACACCAGUGGCGAAGGCGAUUACCUGGACAAAUACUGACACUGGGGGGCGAAAGCGUGGGGAGCAAACAGGAUUAUAUCCCCUGGUAGUCCAGUCCGUAAACGAUGUCAACUAGCCGUUUGGAUCCUUGAGAUCUUAGUGGCGCAGCUAACGCAUUAAGUUGCCCGCCUGGGGAGUACGGCCGCAAGGUUAAAACUCAAAUGAAUUGACGGGU
rnacentral:rRNA from 1 species